ACUCCGUGCCAGCAGCCGCGGUAAUACGUAGGUCCCGAGCGUUGUCCGGAUUUUUUGGGCGUAAAGCGAGCGCAGGCGGUUUGAUAAGUCUGAAGUUAAAGGCUGUGGCUCAACCAUAGUUCGCUUUGGAAACUGUCAAACUUGAGUGCAGUAGGGGAGAGUGGAAUUCCAUGUGUAGCGGUGAAAUGCGUAGAUAUAUGGUGGAAAACCGGUGGCGAAAGCGGCUCUCUGGUCUGUAACUGACGUUGAGGCUCGAAAGCGUGGGGGAGCGAACAGGAUUUAGAUACCCUGGUAGUCCACGCCGUAAACGAAGGAGUGCUAGGUGUUGGAUCCUUUCCGGGAUUCAGUGCCGCAGCUAACGCAUUAAGCACUCCGCCUGGGGAGUACGACCGCAAGGUUGAAACUCAAAGGAAUUGACGGGGGCCCGCACAAGCAGUGGAGUAUGUGGUUUAAUUCGAAGCAACGCGAAGAACCUUACCAGGUCUUGACAUCGAGUGACGAAUCUAGAGAUAGAUUUUUCCUUCGGGACACAAAGACAGGUGGUGCAUGGUUGUCGUCAGCUCGUGUCGUGAGAUGUUGGGUUAAGUCCCGCAACGAGCGCAACCCUUGCUAUUAGUUGCUACGCAAGAGCACUCUAAUAGGACUGCCGUUGACAAAACGGAGGAAGGUGGGGACGACGUCAAAUCAUCAUGCCCCUUAUGACCUGGGCUACACACGUACUACAAUGGAUGUAAACAGAGGGAAGCAAAAUAGCGAUAUGGAGCAAACCCCAAAAAGCAUUCUCAGUUCAGAUUGCAGGCUGCAACUCGCCUGUAUGAAGUUGGAAUUGCUAGUAAUCGCGGAUCAGCAUGCCGCGGUGAAUACGUUCCCGGGCCUUGUACACACCGCCCGUCA
rnacentral:rRNA from 1 species